GACGAACGCUGGCGGCGUGCUUAACACAUGCAAGUCGAGCGGUAAGGCACCUUCGGGUGUACACGAGCGGCGAACGGGUGCGUAACACGUGAGUAAUCUGCCCUUCACUUUGGGAUAAGCCCGGGAAAUCGGGUCUAAUACCGGAUAUUCUCUGAUCCACGCAUGUGGGUUGGUGGAAAGCUUUUGUGGUGGAGGAUGGGCUCGCGGCCUAUCAGCUUGUUGGUGGGGUAAUGGCUUACCAAGGCUUUGACGGGUAGCCGGCCUGAGAGGGUGACCGGCCACACUGGGACUGAGACACGGCCCAGACUCCUACGGGAGGCAGCAGUGGGGAAUAUUGGACAAUGGGCGGAAGCCUGAUCCAGCAACGCCGCGUGAGGGAUGACGGCCUUCGGGUUGUAAACCUCUUUCAGUACCGACGAAGCGAAAGUGACGGUAGGUACAGAAGAAGCACCGGCCAACUACGUGCCAGCAGCCGCGGUAAUACGUAGGGUGCGAGCGUUGUCCGGAAUUAUUGGGCGUAAAGGGCUCGUAGGCGGUUUGUUGCGUCGGGAGUGAAAACCCAGGGCUUAACCCUGGGCUUGCUUCCGAUACGGGCUGACUAGAGGUAUGCAGGGGAGAACGGAAUUCCUGGUGUAGCGGUGAAAUGCGCAGAUAUCAGGAGGAACACCGGUGGCGAAGGCGGUUCUCUGGGCAUUACCUGACGCUGAGGAGCGAAAGUGUGGGGAGCGAACAGGAUUAGAUACCCUGGUAGUCCACACCGUAAACGUUGGGCGCUAGGUGUGGGACUCAUUCCACGAGUUCCGUGCCGCAGCUAACGCAUUAAGCGCCCCGCCUGGGGAGUACGGCCGCAAGGC
rnacentral:rRNA from 1 species